CGGCGGACGGGUGAGUAAUGUCUGGGAAACUGCCCGAUGGAGGGGGAUAACUACUGGAAACGGUAGCUAAUACCGCAUAACGUCGCAAGACCAAAGCGGGGGACCUCCGGGCCUCGCGCCAUCAGAUGAACCCAUAUGGGAUUAGCUUGUAGGUAAGGUAACGGCUUACCUAGGCGACGAUCCCUAGCUGGUCUGAGAGGAUGAUCAGCCACACUGGGACUGAGACACGGCCCAG
rnacentral:rRNA from 1 species